rnacentral:rRNA from 1 species
AUUGAACGCUGGCGGCAUGCCUUACACAUGCAAGUCGAACGGCAGCACGGGAGCAAUCCCGGUGGCGAGUGGCGAACGGGUGAGUAAUAUAUCGGAACGUGCCCAGUCGUGGGGGAUAACGUAGCGAAAGCUACGCUAAUACCGCAUACGAUCUAUGGAUGAAAGCGGGGGAUCGCAAGACCUCGCGCGAUUGGAGCGGCCGAUAUCAGAUUAGGUAGUUGGUGAGGUAAAGGCUCACCAAGCCGACGAUCUGUAGCUGGUCUGAGAGGACGACCAGCCACACUGGGACUGAGACACGGCCCAGACUCCUACGGGAGGCAGCAGUGGGGAAUUUUGGACAAUGGGCGCAAGCCUGAUCCAGCAAUGCCGCGUGCAGGAUGAAGGCCUUCGGGUUGUAAACUGCUUUUGUACGGAGCGAAAAGGCUCCCUCUAAUACAGGGGGCUCAUGACGGUACCGUAAGAAUAAGCNCCGGCUAACUACGUG